GACGAACGCUGGCGGCGUGCUUAACACAUGCAAGUCGUACGGUAAGGCCCUUUCGGGGGUACACGAGUGGCGAACGGGUGAGUAACACGUGAGUAACCUGCCCACAACUUUGGGAUAACGCUAGGAAACUGGUGCUAAUACUGGAUAUGUGCUCCUGCUGCAUGGUGGGGGUUGGAAAGCUCCGGCGGUUGUGGAUGGACUCGCGGCCUAUCAGCUUGUUGGUGGGGUAGUGGCCUACCAAGGCGGCGACGGGUAGCCGGCCUGAGAGGGUGACCGGCCACAUUGGGACUGAGAUAAGGCACAGAUUGCUACGGGAGGCAGAAGUGGGGAAUAGUGCACAAUGGGCGCAAGCCGGAUGCAGAAACGCCGCGUGCGGGAUGACGGCCUUGGGGUUGUAAAACGCUUUCAGCAGGGACGAAGCUUUUUGUGACGGUACCUGCAGAAGAAGCACCGGCUAACUACGUG
rnacentral:rRNA from 1 species